rnacentral:rRNA from 1 species
UACAGAGGGUGCGAGCGUUAAUCGGAAUUACUGGGCGUAAAGCGUGCGCAGACGGUUGCGUAAGUCAGAUGUGAAAGCCCCGGGCUCAACCUGGGAAUUGCAUUUGAGACUGCGUAGCUAGGGUGCGGAAGAGGGAAGCGGAAUUUCCGGUGUAGCGGUGAAAUGCGUAGAUAUCGGAAGGAACACCAGUGGCGAAAGCGGCUUCCUGGUCCAGCACCGACGUCAGGCACGAAAGCGUGGGGAGCAAAC